AUUGAACGCUAGCGGCAGGCUUAACACAUGCAAGUCGAGCGAGCGGCGGACGGGUGAGUAAUGUCUGGGAAACUGCCUGCUGGAGGGGGAUAACUACUGGAAACGGUAGCUAAUACCGCAUACAAUCAAAUGUGCCCAAAUGGGAUUAUCUAGUAGGUGGGGUAAAGGCCUACCAAGGCGACGCUCCGUAACUGGUCUGCGAGGAUGAUCAGUCACACUGGGAAUGAGACUCGGUCCAGACUCCUGCGGGAGGCAGACGUGGGGAAUAUGGGACAAUGGGCGAAAGCCUGAUCCAGCCAUGCCGCGUGUGUGAAGAAGGUCUUCGGAGUGUAAAGCACUUUAAGUUGGGAGGGGUUACCAACAGAAUAAGCACCGGCUAACUUCGUGACAGCAGCCGCGGUAAUAC
rnacentral:rRNA from 1 species